rnacentral:rRNA from 1 species
GACGAACGCUGGCGGCGUGCUUAACACAUGCAAGUCGAACGGAAAGGCCCUGCUUUUGUGGGGUGCUCGAGUGGCGAACGGGUGAGUAACACGUGAGUAACCUGCCCUUGACUUUGGGGUAACUUCAGGAAACUGGGGCUAAUACCGGAUAGGAGCUCCUGCUGCAUGGUGGGGGUUGGAAAGUUUCGGCGGUUGGGGAUGGACUCGCGGCUUAUCAGCUUGUUGGUGGGGUAGUGGCUUACCAAGGCUUUGACGGGUAGCCGGCUUGAGAGGGUGACCGGCGACAUUGGGACUGAGAUACGGCACAGACUCCUACGGGAGGCAGCAGUGGGGAAUAUUGCACCAUGGACGGAAGCCUGAUGCAGCAACGCCGCGUGCGGGAUGACGGCCUUCGGGUUGUAAACCGCUUUCGCCUGUGACGAAGCGUGAGUGACGGUAAUGGGUAAAGAAGCACCGGCUAACUACGUG